CCCUUAGAUGUUCUGAACCGCACGCGUGUUACACUGAUGCAUUCAACGAGCUUUACCUUGGCCGAGAGGCUUGGGAAAUCUUUUUAGCAUGCAUCGUGAUAGGGAUUGAUUAUUGCAAUUAUUAAUCAUGAACGAGGAAUUCCUAGUAAACGCAUUUCAUCAAAAUGCAUUGAUUACGUCCCUGCCCUUUGUACACACCGCCCGUCGCACCUACCGAUUGAGUGGUCCGGUGAAGUCUCGAGAUUGUGGCAAUCUCCUUUAUUGGAGUUUGACUGCGAGAACUUGCCUAAACCUUAUCACUUAGAGGAAGGUGAAGUCGUAACA
rnacentral:rRNA from 1 species